rnacentral:rRNA from 1 species
ACGUGGAUAACCUUCCUUCAGGUGGGGAAUAACCCAGUGAAAAUUGGGCUAAUACCGCAUAACAUGACGAUGGCUCAUGCCGUUGUCUUCAAAGGCGCAAGUCGCCAGAAGAGGGAUCCGCGGCCGAUUAGCUAGUUGGCGAGGUAAUGGCUCACCAAGGCAUUGAUCGGUAGCCGGACUGAGAGGUUGGCCGGCCACACUGGAACUGAGACACGGUCCAGACUCCUACGGGAGGCAGCAGUGGGGAAUCUUGCACAAUGGACGAAAGUCUGAUGCAGCAACGCCGCGUGGGGGAUGAAGCUUUUCGGAGUGUAAACCCCUUUCGACCCGGAAGAAAGCCCGCAAGGGUUUGACGGUACGGGUAUAAGAAGCCCCGGCUAACUACGUGCCAGCAGCCGCGGUAAAACGUAGGGGGCCAGCGUUGCUCGGAAUUACUGGGCGUAAAGGGUCCGUAGGCGGUGUGGCAAGUUGGUAGUGAAAUCUCUGGGCUUAACCCAGAGGCUGCUGCCAAAACUGCCGUGCUAGAGUGUGAGAGAGGCGAGUGGAAUUACGGGUGUAGCGGUGAAAUGCGUAGAUAUCCGUAGGAACAUCCGAGGCGAAGGCGGCUCGCUGGAUCACAACUGACGCUGAGGGACGAAAGCUAGGGGAGCAAACAGGAUUAGAUACCCUGGUAGUCCUAGCCCUAAACCAUCAGGACUUGGGGUGUGCCCUGUACGGGGCACGUCCCGUAGCUAACGCGUUAAGUCCUGCGCCUGGGGAGUACGGUCGCAAGGCUGAAACUCAAAUGAAUUGACGG